CCUACGGGUGGCAGCAGUGAGGAAUAUUGGUCAAUGGACGCAAGUCUGAACCAGCCAUGCCGCGUGCAGGAAGACGGCUCUAUGAGUUGUAAACUGCUUUUGUACGAGGGUAAGCGCGGAUACGUGGAUCUGUCUGAAAGUAUCGUACGAAUAAUGAGCGGCUAACUCCGUGCCAGACGGCGCGGUAAUACGGAGGAGGCACGCGGUAUCCGGAUUUAUUGGGUUUAACGGGUGCGUAGGCGGUCGGAUAAGUUAGAGGUGAAAUCCCGAGGCUCAACUUCGGAAUUGCCUGUGGUCCUGUUCGGCUAGAGAGUAGUUGCGGUAGGCGGAAUGUAUGGUGUAGCGGUGAAAUGCUUAGAGAUCAUACAGCACACCGAUUGCGAAGGCAGCUUACCAAGCUACUUCUGACGUUGAGGCACGAAAGCGUGGGGAGCAAACAGGAUUAGAUACCCGAGUAGUC
rnacentral:rRNA from 1 species